CGGCUGGAUACUGAAGUUCGGGGGCGUGGUUCGGGACCCGCCUACGCUUCCUGCUGCCGAGCGUCCCCAGUCCGGCGCCCGUGUGCGCUCCGCGUCCUGCCCCGCUCGCUGCCGCAGAGUGAGCCCCCCGGGUGCCCCCCGCCCCCCUCGCUUCUCCCACGCGGCCCCGCCAGCGCAGCUGCCUCCGUCUGUGCCCGCGCCGCUGCCCGGGCGAAGGGGCCUCCACGGGCCGGCCUCGCCCUCAUGGCUCGUGAGGAGGGACCCGGCCUCCCCCGACCCUUCCCUUCCUCCCUCCCCCGGGCCCAGCUGGAGGCUGCCCAUCUCGGCUGGGCGUGGGGAGGCGCCCUCGCGGCGAGGGGUCCCGCGCCUUGAAGAGCGGGGCGCUCCUGGGGCUUGUUGCCAGCGCCAGGCUGCUUGCCUGGGGCAGGUUCCCCGCGGAGCCCCGCGUCUCCUCCACCAAAGAGGGCCCCCUCCGCCGGUGCUGGGUCCCGCGCCCUCCCUGCACCGGCCUCCCCGAGCCUCGCCUGCCCAGUGAGGCAGACCCACGGAGGACCCGAAGCGAGGCCUCUUCCCGAGGCCCGCAGAAGACGGGGCUGGAGUCGUGAUGCCGGCCGCCCACUUCGCACGGAGGGGGAUGAAGACCCCCUACACGGACGUACCGCCCUGACCUGGGCAGAAAGCCCCCCACCCCCGGGGUCACAAGCAUGUGGGCUCCGAGGCUGCCCGCACGCUGGUUCCUUAGGAAGCGGCCAAAACCAUUUCGUCUGGAUGCGGUUUGAAACAAAUCUGCACCCGGCUGUACACAUGAAACUACUCACUCACUGAUUCGUUUGUUAAAAUCGUAUUGACUCCGUGUGGGCACCAGUGGGCUGCGCAGGGCAGUGAUGUCUUGACCGCUGGGUUGCUCAGCCAAACAGUUUUGGAGUGAUGCUGGCUUGAAGGGAAAGCACCCCAGCUUGAAAGCCCCGGAGUAAAAAGGGCAGCGUUUGACGGACUCACAGAUCCGAAGUGCAGGCGCAGAGAAACCAGUGCUACUGCAAGUGUGUCCAUCGCCUGAGUGUCUGUUAGCAUCUCACCCCCCCCCCGAUGGGGAUGGGGAAUGUUGAGCCCAAUGCUCCAUGUGAUGAUCCUGUAUUCGUGUAAAUAGGAGGAAUGCACCGAGGGUGAGCAUGCCUGAACUUUGCCUGGUGAUGCUUCCUCAUGUUUCUCUACGGCCACCAACUUGGAGAGCUUUCAAGAGGACUGGAAAGAUUUGUGGAGGCACUUCCCAGGAGGAUCGCUCCGUCUGUGCUGCCUCUGGGACGGGCUCCCGUCUUGGUGGAAACUUUUUCAGUUUUAAAACCAGUCAGAAGGGCUUUUUGACUGGGGAAAAUUUCUCCCGGAUAAGGAAGAAACGUAGAGAUUUCCCACAGAGCUUUGUUGUGUUUGUUGGAGGCUGGAAUUCUGUGAAAGAAGGUCUUCCAGCAGCUCGGAUGGAGCUAGGAUUUCCAACCAGCUCAACUGAUUAAGUGAGCCAUUUUUUUUUCUUCAAAGAAAAACGGAUUAACAGGCAAGCAUUCUCCUGUCUUUUCUCAUUAUUUUGUUAUCAAUACAGCUAAAGAGAUUUGUCAAAGAACCAGCAAUUAAGAAACCCUGGGUGAGUCAUAGCUUUCUCUUUUAUUCACGGAGCUAAGGGGAAGAAAAUAGAAAUAGUUUAUCUUUAUUUUUAUUGCAAAAAGCUGGCAUGGAAUUCAGCAUUAUAAAGAUUACAAAUGGCUGAGGGGUUUCUAAUUUAAAGAGAAAAUUUUUUUUUGAUUUAUAAGACUUUUGAGUAAUAUAUGUCUGGGACUAUUUUCCGGUUUACUUUUUUUUUUUGACGAAUCUGCUCAUUCUUCCUGCUACUAAUUAUUUGGAUGCUGUGAAUUAAAGUUGUUUUGGCACUUUUGGACAUACAAGAGAUAAGGCAGUUCGUCUUGUCUAGAGGGUGACGUCAGCUGGCUUGAAAGAUUAACUCCUUUGUAACUGGAUAAAGAAAUAAACUGUUCUUUGCUUGGGACAUUGGAAAUUGAAGGGAUUGUGUUUUUUUUGGUUUUAAGAAUGACAAUCAAGAAGGUGGUUGAGAUCAUGGAUGUACAAGAAGGGACUUUCUCUUUAGAUAUGUUUCAGAAAAUAAUGAAUGAGAUUAAGCUAACAAAACAAGAACGCAGACAUAACAGACAAGUGAUGAUAAGUGAAUUUGGCGAAAUGAGACAGGAGCUGAAAGAAAUUCAGGAUUCUAUGAGAAAGGAGAACAAAGAUAAAUUUGGAAAAUUAAAAAAGGAUGAAAGAAAAAUUAAAGGGAAGGUUCAAGCCCUGGAGAUUAGAUUAAAUAUGGUCUUGGAAAAAGAUUUGGAUUUCCUGGCUGUGAUGGAUCCUGGAGACAAAUAUUACUGUUUGGAAUUCAGCGCUGUCCCUGAAGGAAUUGGUGAAGAGAUUGGAGAUAAAGAUAUAAUCGGUUCGAAAAAAUUCAUGGACUGGAAGGAUUUGAUGGAACUUGAAAUGGAGAAAGUUUACAGAAUUAAUUCCUGUUUUGUGACAAUGACUUCAAGAGAUGUGCUAGUGCAUUCUGUAAAAAAGAGGAACAGAGAUGCGGUUCUGCAACAAUACUUCAGUGAUACGUUCGGAAAUGAUGGCAAGAAAACAUUUGUGAUGAAGGAAAUCCCUAUCAGACUCUUAUUAUAUGACUAUGACAGCAAGAUUAUUGGGUGCGUAAAGAUGGAAGAUGGAAUCAACACGGAUAAAGGAAGAAGAGCGAUUUGAAAUUACUGGAUUUAAUAGACUUGAAGAGUUGGAUUAAUUGACAUGUCUAUCUAGAAAAAAAUUGAUGGACAUAUAUCUCAAGGAUUGGAAACUUCUCUUUGACUUUUUGUAGAAGAAUAAAAUAUGAUGUUAAUGAGAUUUGAUACCAACUAAGAUAACUGCUGGAGGAAGGUGAUUUUAUAAUUUAUCAAGAGACAGGUUUGUUAUAUAUUAUAGACCUAUAGCUGAACUAUGACAGAUCAGAAGUCAAUAGUUUC